rnacentral:rRNA from 1 species
UACGUAGGUGGCAAGCGUUGUCCGGAAUUAUUGGGCGUAAAGCGCGCGCAGGCGGUCCUUUAAGUCUGUUGUGAAAGCCCACGGCUCAACCGUGGAGGGUCAUUGGAAACUGGGGGACUUGAGUACAGAAGAGAAGAGUGGAAUUCCACGUGUAGCGGUGAAAUGCGUAGAGAUGUGGAGGAACACCAGUGGCGAAGGCGACUCUUUGGUCUGUAACUGACGCUGAGGCGCGAAAGCGUGGGGAGCGAACAGG